UAAACACCUAUUCCCGUACAGUCACCGAAGUUAAGCAAUCUCGAGCCUGGUGAAUUCUUUAAUGGGUGACCGCUUGCGAAUAUCAAGUGUUGAA